rnacentral:misc_RNA from 1 species
CAAGAAGAGACCCUAACCGGUCCUCUCAACCCUGCCCAUCGUACCCUUUUUGUUGUUCCCUCGGCGGCGCUCUCGGGCCCGCCGGCGGGAAGACCAAACAAACCCUUUGCAAACGAGCAUACUUAUUAAUCUGAUCAAACAUGAAUUGUCA